GUCUCACUCUGUCAUCCAGGCUGGAAUGCAGUGGCAAAAUCAUGGCUCACUGCGGCCUUGAACCCCCGGGAUCAAGCAAUCCUCCAGCCUCAGCCUCCCAGGUAGCUGGAUCAGCAGAUGCGCACCACCGUGAUCAGCUAAUUUUCUUCAUUUUUUUUGUAGAGUUGAGGUCUCACUAAGUUGCCCAGGCUGGUCUGGAACUCCUGGACUCGAGCAAUCCCCCCGCCUUGGCCUCCCAAAGUGCUGGGCUUACAGACAUGAGCCACCGUGUCCAGCUGACAGGAGGUCUUAACAUCCUUGUUUUUCGGACGAGGAAACUGAGGCGUGGAGAGGUGGAGACUUACACAAGAUCAUAGAGCGAAUAGAGGGCAGAGCUGGAGUCUGAAGUCAGUCUGACCGACCAUGAAACUCACAUGUCAUCCUGACACCAUUCCAAUCCUGUGAGGCUUCUGUGCUUCAUCCCCCAGGGGAAGAUUCCAGAGCAGACAACUCAGCUGCCUUUGUGACUGAAACCGAGAGUAAAUGAAGGAAUAUUUAUGAAGUCUCUGCAACUUGCCAGGUGCUUUCACUAUGCAACCCUCCCUGCAGCAGUCCCGAGAAUGUGAUCCUGAGUUUACUUCUGAUGAAAGCAAGGCUCAGAGGGGCCACCUGCCUAAGGGCGUGCAGCUGGAAUGCGGGGAGCCAGGACUCAAGCUCUGGUCUGUCUCAUUCACUUGGAAGCCAGGCCCCUUUCCUCCCUCCCGCUCUGCGUGCAGGAGCUCCGUGGUGGGGCAGCUGCCCCGAGGGAAGGUCCUUCUGACCGCCAGUGUCUGUGGCUGGCUGUCCAGGAAGCAGAGCCAGGACUGGCAGCUUGGGCUCCGAGGACUGCCUCUUCCUCUUGGCUGCCAGGGAGUUUCCAAUCAUCAGAAGAAACAGACUCUGGGAACAGCUCUGCCACUUGUCCCAGCCCUGCCCCAGCCUCUGAGCAACUGGAGCCCAGAUGCCCUGGCCCACCCUAAGCUAUCCAUAAGCACAGGUGGGCCUGAAGGAGGCUCCCUGCUGGGCGUGGGCGAGGGUCUUGGCCUUCUAGGUGGGACCCUGCCUGCCAGGGGACAGCCUCUUAGGUGGGUGGGAAAGAGCUCUGUACUUGGGGUCACAAAUGUGGCUUCUGGCCCUGCUCCACCAAGGGCCAGUGCGUGAUUUUAAAUAGAUCUCUUCGCCUCUCUGAGCCUUAGUUUCUUGGUCUAUAAAAAAAUGGGACCCUAACCUCUCCUCACUGCGGUGUGGGAGGGAAAAUGAGUCAAGGCAAGAAAGUGCUGGAAACUGAAAGCCCUGGGCAGGACCUGCUCCAUAAUUUGCCAAGUUCAGGGCAAAAAUGAAAAGGUGGGGCCGGGCGCCCUGGCUCACACCUGUAAUCCCAGCACUUUGGGAGACUGAGGAAGGCAGAUCACUUGAGGUCAGGAAUUUGAGACUAGCUUGGCCAACAUGGGGAAACCCUGUCUGUACAAAAAAUACAAAAAAUUAGCCAAGCGUGCUGGCGCGCCUGUAGUCCCAGCUUUGCAAGAGGCUGAGGUGGGAGGAUGGCUUGAGCCUGGGAGGUGGAGGCUGCAAUGAGCUAUGACCGCGCCACUGUACUCCAGCCUGGGCGACAGAGCGAGACCCGUUCAAAAAU
rnacentral:lncRNA from 1 species